UGUUUAGUGUACAUUAUUCAUAAGGGCGCAGCAAUUUUUGAAGACAUUUGUAAGUGAAAUGCUAACACAAGUGUUUUGGGAUCAUAGUUUGUGGCAUCAAUUAGUUGCUUGAAUUCGCUGUUGGGGGCGGGGCUCGGACUCGGUCCUACGAAGAGCCGGGGCGUCCUCUGUACACUUUGUGACGACGAGGGGUGCAACGAAUACCACAUGACUGAAACGAUUUUGUACUGGAGCCUUUUAAUAUAGAUGAAAGCGCUUUCUGCAGCAGUAAUUCAAGACAAAUCCGCGAUCCCUCACAGCAAACGAGCUACUAGGACACAAAUUCGAUCCUUCACGGCCAGAUGUUUCCUUUUCAUACCUGUGUUUUACUCGGAGGGCAACAUAUUCACUUAAACGUGAAAGAAAUAUGCAAAUGGCGUCCUUUCAACUCGGCAAUCCAUAAUGUUCCGGCUUUGAUGCCGCGAGCCGGAUGGUAACCGCGAACUGGCGCGAUCUGGCUGGCCGCGCUAAACACGCCACAUGUAGCGCAUGCUAAAACCACAUGCGGCCUUUUUUUUUUUUUUGGGCUGCAGAGACGCUACAGCGGCAGCCAAUCAAUAAGACCUUGUUACACUAAUUGCAAGAUCGUAAUCUCCGAUUCCUACUUCUGCUGAAUAUCCAAACAGUCAGUCCAUUAGCGGAAUUAUUCCCCCGUGCAGCUCAUCCGACUCGCUCGGCCUCCUCCCUUCCAUUUGCUCAUUUUCCUCCCCCCACCUUAUGACAUAUUCCUCUCAAACGGCAGUCUUGUUAAACGGAUUCAUAAGUCAGGGAGGAAGACAUCAAAGCGAAGAAUCGUCAAGGUUUGAGGGCGACUGCCACCGUUGCCUGUUGACCCUGUCGAAGACCACCAUUCACACCUACGGACAAUUUAGAGCAGGGGUCACCAACGCAGUGCCCGCGGGCAAAUGGUAGCCCGCGAGGACCAUAUAAGGCGCCUGCGAGGUUCAUCAAUCACAGCGCUCAACACAGUGGAAGAAAGCAGACUUGGAAAGAGGGAUGAACGCUGGAUGGAUAAUGCCCACGGAUGGAAGGACGGAGGUGAAACGCUGCAGCGAAGACGUUGCGAGCGAGGCGAGGAACGAACAACACCACAGACGCUUCUUUGCAGGGAAAUACAUGGUUGGCCGCGUGACAAAACAAAAUGGCAGAUAUGCGGCACACGGUGGCCUGUUUGCGUACGGCACAAAAAAAAAAAACAAAACACGAUGCGCGAAGUGUUGAGAAGUAACAGAGAAAAUGUCAGUUAGGGGAAAAAAAAAGACAAUAUGUAUCUCUCACGAUUGGCGAGCUGAAUGGCGUUGAGCUCGUGAGAAAACAAAACAAAACACGGAUGACACAAAUUCACGCCCCUGCGCGUCGCACGGUCAACAAACUCGGAGCCCGUCGUGUUUAAACGACUUCAAAUAAACAAAACAAGUGUAUUUACUUGCUCCUCCUCCAUUAUCUUGCUGCCUCACACCCAGUUAUGAAGCACAUUUGUCACUUGAAAGCAGCUUUGUUCAGAAAUUCCACGCCCCAAAAAAAAACAAAAAAACUGCAUUUGGGCCAAUAAAGACCUCCCCGGCGCUGUUUGACAGGAGCGUGCAAAGAGACAGCGGUCCAAAUAAAUACCGGUGUCAGGACCGCGCUCAUGUGAGCAGUCACAGUGACGAGAUGCAUGCGUGCGUGCAUAACCAAACCGGGAGAGUAAAUGGGGGGUGGGGGGGGGGGGAGAUAUGGAUUUCCUUUGUGAAUAUAUCCACCGCUGCAGUUCACCUCUGUGUGUGUGCGUUCCUUUUGUGCUCGUUCACUGCAAUAUAUUCUCCGUAAACACCGACACACUGUUUGUGUAAUCGGACCUGACCAAUAAUACACAACGCUGAUCCCAGCCGGACGAACAGAACACUUCCUGUGAUGCCCCCCCCAACCCCCCAUAGACAGAGCCACACCCACGGGCCCUCCUACAAAUAUGUACCGCAUUAGUUUUAAUCCAGAAAAAAAUAUAUAUGAUUAAAGAAAUAAAAAUUACAUCCAAGUUAAAAAUAAGUCAAUGUAGAUACAAAAUAGACCAAAAAAAUUACAUGAAAAAAAGUGUUAAGGCGACAAAAAGGAGUCUUUAAAAUUAUUAUUUAGAAAACUAGAAACCUAAAUAUGAUUGUAACAAAAUAGCUGUCAAGUGAUCUUUUUUUGUGGCCCAUACUGUUUAAAAACUGAUUUGAACAAAAGUGACGUGAAUGAGAAAAUGUAUUCAUCACCCAAUAAAAUGUAAUAAAAACAACACUAAUUGUAAAUAUAACAAACCUAAUAAAUACAGGAUGAAUAUGGUGAACAAAGUUGGAAAAAAAAAAAAAAAAGGUGGCACGGUAGCGGAGCUGUAGAGCGUUGGCCUCACAGUUCUGAGCUCCAGGGUUCGAUCCCGGCCCCGCAAAUGUGGAGUUUGCAAGUUUUCCCCGUGCCUGCGUCGGUUUUCUCCGGGUGGGCACUCCGGUUUCCUCCCACAUUACGAAAACAUGCACCAUUAAUUGGACACUCUAAAUUGCCCCUAGGUGUGAUUGGGAGUGCGGCUGUUUGUCUCAAUGUGCCCUGCGAUUGGCUGGCGACCAGUGCAGGGUCCUGCCCGAAAAUAGCUGGGAUAGGCACCAGCACUCCUGAUACCCUUGUGAGGAUA